UUACUCUGGUUUCUCUUCAUAACGCACAAGUCUUUCGCCUUUUACUAAAGACUUCCGUGGAGAGUGACUCCAACGAGUUUAGCCUAUUUUUGGCAGGCUUUGCUCUCUGGCAGAGCCG
ensembl:snRNA U5 U5 spliceosomal RNA